UUUCUGUUCCUUGUUGGCCUUGAGUUAGAUCUGAAGUCCCUCCAACGGACGGGGAAAAAGGCUUUAGGCAUAGCUGUUGCAGGAAUUAGCUUACCCUUUCUGUUGGGAAUUGGAGUAUCAUUUUUACUCCGUAAAACUAUCUCUGAAGGUGUUAAAGCAGCUCCAUUCCUUGUAUUCAUGGGAGUGGCCCUUUCAAUCACUGCUUUCCCUGUCUUGGCUCGUAUUUUGGCAGAACUCAAGCUUUUAACCACUGAUGUUGGUCGAAUGGCAAUGACAGCAGCAGCCGUAAAUGAUAUUGCAGCAUGGAUUUUACUUGCUCUUGCCAUUGCCCUCUCUGGAUCUGAGCAUUCACCCCUCACAUCUUUAUGGGUGCUUUUGUCUGGGGUUGGAUUUAUUAUCUGUUGCAUAGCGGUUAUCCCCGCUGUCUUUAAAUGGAUGGCGCAUCGUUGUCCUCAGGGUGAGCCAGUAAAUGAAAUUUAUGUCUGUGCUACAUUAGCUAUUGUUUUGGCAGCAGGGUUCUGCACUGAUUCUAUUGGAAUUCAUGCCCUCUUUGGUGCAUUUGUAAUUGGAGUUCUUAUCCCAAAAGAGGGACCAUUUGCUGGUGCUCUUGUUGAAAAAGUUGAAGAUCUUGUAUCCGGUCUCUUCCUCCCGUUGUACUUCGUCUCUAGCGGAUUGAAGACCAAUGUAGCUGCAAUUCGAGGUGCUCAAUCAUGGGGUUUACUUGUUUUAGUCAUAUGUACAGCCUGUUUUGGAAAGAUAAUUGGGACUGUAUUUGUCUGUCUGUUAUGCCGAAUUCCUGUUCAGGAAGCUAUAACUCUGGGGUUUUUGAUGAAUACUAAAGGCUUGGUGGAGCUCAUUGUCCUCAACAUAGGUAAAGAUCGAAAGGUCCUGAAUGAUCAAACAUUUGCUAUCUGUGUUCUAAUGGCUAUCUUCACAACCUUUAUCACAACUCCUAUAGUCUUAGCAGUAUAUAAGCCGGCUAAACAAAAGAUGAGUGCUGAUUACAAGCACAGAUCAAUUGAGAGAAAAGACCCAGACAAUCAGCUUCGAAUUUUGGCAUGUUUCCAUAGUACAAUGAACAUUCCUACAAUUAUCAAUCUCAUU
rnacentral:misc_RNA from 1 species